rnacentral:tRNA from 1 species
AGGCCGGGGCCCGGGGCCUGGUGGGCCUCCAAAGCCCGCCGUGAAGGUUCGACUCCUUCCCGGCCUGCCA